rnacentral:lncRNA from 1 species
AUGACAAAUGAAGAAACACAUGGCAGUUUGGAGACGAGCCUGCAGCAGGGCACACAGACACAUCAGCAUCGAGGAGAGGAGGGUGAGGAAUAUCAGACACCCCAGAGAGGAGACACUGGAAGUCUGGGAAAUGAAGGGAGCAGUGAGACACCUUUGUGCCUUGUCCCCCAGCAGGAGUGUUCAGCUACCUGUGCUGCAUCCCCCAGCAGCCUCCAAGAGCACCUCCCGGGCAAGGGCUCAGACAGUGAGGACUUCCUGAUCAAAUACAGCGACAUUGUCAUAGCACAAACACCAAUCUUCAGCGAGAGUCCCUCUCCAAAGGCUUUGGAGAAGGAGCCAAGAGCCAGGCCGAGUGAGGAGUGGGCCUUGACAGGGGCUGCAGAGCUGGCUGCACGAGCCCUGGGGCCUGCACCUCUGUCCCCAGGAGCCAGCGGCCCCCCAGCCUUUGCCAUGUUUGCUGACAGUUCCUGUGACAGCAAAACCACCUUGCAGUUUGAAGCUCCAGGAGUCCCAGAAGGAUCAAUUGAAGCAGAAAUUAAUGAUGCCAUAAAUUGCAUAGACCCAGCCCCUGGUGAUGAACCUACUGAGCUGAAGUCUCUACCCUACAAGGACUUUUCCUCUGCCCAAAACUGCUGCAUCCCCAAGGAAGAGGACAAUUGUGAGAUGUCUUUAACCUUCACAGAACUACAAAUCAAGGAUGCUCAGGAAGAACUUAUAUAUCCAGUAGAAGAAAGUGGCCAGCCUGAGGCAGUAGCCUAUGCAGGAAGAAGUGACAGGCACAUUAAAGAAUUUAAUCACUCCCAAAUAAAACACACAUACCUGACUGAUGCUGAGGUGCACAAGAGAGCAGCGUCACACCCUGAGCCACCUUCAGGUCUGUGCUGCACUGCUGGGCACACAGAGGAUUCCACAGCUGGUUCUGACAGCAAGAGACUGUUUGUGGAUCCUCCUAAGGGACACUCAGCUUCUGAGUGCUUCAGGCAUGUCAGAGAGCCCCCCAACCUCACUUACAUCCCCCCCAAAAGCAUUGAUGUGCCGCCCUCACACGGGGGCAGGAGCAGCAGCCAGGGCAGGAGGAGCCUGGGGCAGCCUGCAGGUGACUCUGCUGGAGGCAGGGAAGGGAAGCUGGAGCACUGCAAUUCCCAAGAGACUGACAGCCAGGAGCCUUAUGUCAUCAUUGACAGAACCGACCAGGCAGGGCUGUGCCACCACAUCUGA